GACGAACGCUGGCGGCGUGCUUAAUACAUGCAAGUCGAACGGACAGACGCGGAUUUUGUGGGGUUCACGAGUUGCGCGCGGGUGAGUGACACGUGUGUAUACUGUCCUUGACAUUGGGAUAAAUUCAGGGAAAUGCGGAUCAUACCGCGUAGGAGAUACUGCUGCGUGGUGGGGGUUGGUAAGUGUCGGCGGUUGGGUCUGGAUUCGCUGCUUAUCCGCUUCAUGGUGGAGUAGUGGCUUACCAGGGCUUUGACGGGUAGCCGGCCUGAGAGCGUGACCGGCCACAUGGGGACUGAGAGACGGCGCAGACGCCUACGUGAGGCAGCAGUGGGGAACAUUGCACAAUAGGCCGAAGCCUGAUGCAGCGACGCCGCGUUCGUGAUGAUGUCCUUCUGGGUAUAAACCGCUUUCUCCGUUGCCGUAGCCUUAUUGACGGUAAUUGGUAAAGAAGCACCGGCUAACUACGUG
rnacentral:rRNA from 1 species